rnacentral:rRNA from 1 species
GUAACACGUGGAUAACCUACCUAUAAGACUGGGAUAACUUCGGGAAACCGGAGCUAAUACCGGAUAAUAUUUUGAACCGCAUGGUUCAAAAGUGAAAGACGGUCUUGCUGUCACUUAUAGAUGGAUCCGCGCUGCAUUAGCUAGUUGGUAAGGUAACGGCUUACCAAGGCAACGAUGCAUAGCCGACCUGAGAGGGUGAUCGGCCACACUGGAACUGAGACACGGUCCAGACUCCUACGGGAGGCAGCAGUAGGGAAUCUUCCGCAAUGGGCGAAAGCCUGACGGAGCAACGCCGCGUGAGUGAUGAAGGUCUUCGGAUCGUAAAACUCUGUUAUUAGGGAAGAACAUAUGUGUAAGUAACUGUGCACAUCUUGACGGUACCUAAUCAGAAAGCCACGGCUAACUACGUGCCAGCAGCCGCGGUAAUACGUAGGUGGCAAGCGUUAUCCGGAAUUAUUGGGCGUAAAGCGCGCGUAGGCGGUUUUUUAAGUCUGAUGUGAAAGCCCACGGCUCAACCGUGGAGGGUCAUUGGAAACUGGAAAACUUGAGUGCAGAAGAGGAAAGUGGAAUUCCAUGUGUAGCGGUGAAAUGCGCAGAGAUAUGGAGGAACACCAGUGGCGAAGGCGACUUUCUGGUCUGUAACUGACGCUGAUGUG